GAUGAACGCUGGCGGCGUGCCUAAUACAUGCAAGUCGAGCGAACGGACGAGAAGCUUGCUUCUCUGAUGUUAGCGGCUGACGGGUGAGUAACACAUGGAUACCCUACCUAUAAGACUGGGAUAACUUCGGGAAACCGGAGCUAAUACCGUAUGAUCUUUUGAACCGCAUUGUUCAAAAGUGAAAGACGGCCUUGCUGUCACUUAUAGAUGCAUCCGCGCUGCAUUAGCUAGUUGGUAAGGUAACGGCUUACCAAGGCAACGAUGCAUAGCCGACGUGAGAGGGUGAUCGGCCACCCGGGAACUGAGACACGGUCCAGACUCCUAAGGGAGGCAGCAGUAGGGAAUCUGACGCAAUGGGCGAAAGCCUGACGGAGCAACGCCGCGUGAGUGAUGAAGGUCUUCGGAUCGUAAAACUCUGUUAUUAGGGAAGAACAUAUGUGUAAGUAACUGUGCACAUCUUGACGGUACCGAAUCAGAAAGCCACGGCUAACUACGUG
rnacentral:rRNA from 1 species